GAUCCGGUCGUUUAGUGGAUAGGACACAACCCUGCGAAGGUUGGAACCCCGGUUCGACUCCGGGUCGGGUCA
rnacentral:tRNA from 1 species